AGCAGCCGCGGUAAUUCCAGCUCCAAUAGCGUAUAUUAAAGUUGUUGCAGUUAAAAAAGCUCGUAGUUGAAUUUCGGGAUUAAUAUAUUGGUCAUGCCUUCGGUAUGUACUGGUAUAUUGAUUUCUACCUUCUGACGAACUAUGAUGUCAUUAAUUUGGUGUUAUAGGGAACCAGGACUGUUACUUUGAAAAAAAUUAGAGUGUUUAAAGCAGGCACACGCUUGAAUACAUUAGCAUGGAAUAAUGAAAUAGGACGUUUGAUCCUAUUUUGUUGGUUUCUAGGAUCGACGUAAUGAUUAAUAGGGAUAGUUGGGGGCAUUAGUAUUCAAUUGUCAGAGGUGAAAUUCUUGGAUUUAUUGAAGACUAACUACUGCGAAAGCAUUUGCCAAGGAUGUUUUCAUUAAUCAAGAACGAAAGUUAGGGGAUCGAAGACGAUCAGAUACCGUCGUAGUCUUAACCAUAAACUAUGCCGACUAGGGAUCGGAUGAUGUUAAUUUUUUUAAUGUACUCAUUC
rnacentral:rRNA from 1 species